AAGACGGCAGAGAGAGGGUGCGUAUCACCGUGGCUGUGGCUGGCGGUUGUCCCCCUCUGCCCCUCUUCCCCCUGCCCGCCGCCCUCUCGGCUUGUCUUUCCACCCUGUCCCCAUUCUUCAUUCCACCCCCUGGGGCUGGCCGGCCCCCUGCCCUCCUGUCUCCUCUGUACAACCAGCCCUCUAGGUCCCCCUGCUUACCAAACUCUCCUCCAAGAGGCCUCAACCAUGAGCAACUGCUCCCUCUUCGAAACUCUUAACGCCUCGCCAUCCUCCGAGCCCUGAUUCUCAGACCAGCAGAAUCGGUACCACCUGUGCACUGACUGCGCUAAAGCAUCUCAGCAUCUCGGGCUCCACUGGCUCCCUGCUCCAGGCUCUGUCAGAGCGCCUUCGGGAGAGGAAGGAGGUGGCCCCCCAGCUCCAGUCUCCUUAACUGCACCCUGGGAAGUCUGCACACUGCCUUUCUUUCUCCCCUCCUGGUGGUCUAAUCUGGAGUCAGAUCCAGCCGCUGGCUCUCGCAGAUGGGGAAGGACUGCCAGCCAACAGGAAAACAACAGGUUUCUAUAAUUCAUCAUUCAGUCCCUUCUGAAAACCUAGAAUGAGAGUUUAGCAGCUCAGAGCCCCGGCCUCUCUCCAUUCUCUCCCCAAACACAUCAGCUUGUUUGUUCCCUUUCAUCCGGGCUCUUCCUGUCGCAUUCUGCCUGUUCAAUGGGGAAAGAGUGAAACCGGAUGGCUGGACCCAGUGCGGGGAAAUGACUUC
rnacentral:lncRNA from 1 species